rnacentral:rRNA from 1 species
GAUGAACGCUGGCGGCGUGCCUAAUACAUGCAAGUCGAGCGAACGGACGAGAAGCUUGCUUCUCUGAUGUUAGCGGCGGACGGGUGAGUAACACGUGGAUAACCUACCUAUAAGACUGGGAUAACUUCGGGAAACCGGAGCUAAUACCGGAUGAUAUUUUGAACCGCAUGGUUCAAAAGUGAAAGACGGUCUUCCUGUCACUUAUAGAUGGAUCCGCGCUGCAUUAGCUAGUUGGUAAGGUAACGGCUUACCAAGGCAACGAUGCAUAGCCGACCUGAGAGGGUGAUCGGCCACACUGGAACUGAGACACGGCCCAGACUCCUACGGGAGGCAGCAGUAGGGAAUCUUGCGCAAUGGGCGAAAGCCUGACGGAGCAACGCCGCGUGAGUGAUGAAGGUCUUCGGAUCGUAAAACUCUUUUAUUAGGGAAGAACAUAUGUGGAAGUAACUGUGCACAUCUUGACGGUACCUAAUCAGAAAGCCACGGCUAACUACGUG